UACGUAGGGAGCAAGCGUUGUCCGGAAUCAUUGGGCGUAAAGCGCGCGUAGGUGGCCCCGUAAGUCCGCUGUGAAAGUCAAAGGCUCAACCUUUGAAAGCCGAUGGAUACUGUGGAGCUAGAGUACGGAAGAGGCGAGUGGAAUUCCUGGUGUAGCGGUGGAAUGCGCAGAUAUCAGGAGGAACACCAAUAGCGAAGGCAGCUCGCUGGGACGUUACUGACACUGAGGCGCGAAAGCGUGGGGAGCGAACAGG
rnacentral:rRNA from 1 species